CUACGGGUUGCUCCAGCUACGAAAACUCUACAAUGCACGCAAGUGUGAUAGGGGGAUUCCAAGUGCUUUACUAAGGUAAAGCUUUUGCUAAAUCAAAAAAAUUUAGCGAAUAAGUAGUGGGCAAGACCGGUGCCAGCCGCCGCGGUAACCCCGGCGCUACAAGUGGCGAUCACGUUUAUUGGGUCUAAAGCGUCCGUAGCUUAUGUUGUAAAUCUCUUGUGAAAUUGUUAAAUUAAACUUAACAGCAUGCAAGAGAGACUGUAACAUUAGAGACUGGUAAGGGGCAGAAGUUUUCCAAGGGGAGCGGUAAAAUGUUAUAAUCCUUGGAGGACUCCCAAUGGCGAAGGCAUCUGCCUAGGACGGCUCUGACAGUGAGGGACGAAGGCUAGGAGAACGAUCGGGAUUAGAUACCCCCGUAGUC
rnacentral:rRNA from 1 species